rnacentral:rRNA from 1 species
GACGAACCGUGCGAACGUUAUUCGGAAUCACUGGGCUUAAAGCGCGUGUAGGCGGCCCGGCACGUCCGUCGCUGAAAUCCCCCGGCUCAACCGGGGAAGGGGCGCGGAUACGACCGGGCUGGAGGGGGGUAGGGGGAUCGGGAACUUCCGGUGGAGCGGUGAAAUGCGUUGAGAUCGGAAGGAACGCCCGCGGCGAAAGCGCGGUCCUGGACCACACCUGACGCUGAGACGCGAAAGCCAGGGGAGCGAACGGG